UCCAGUGAAGAACAGUGAGUCAGCGUUUACUCUGCUAAGCAUGGGCUACCUUCAUCAGUUCUAUAGAUGUGGUAUGCCCAUGCUUUAGCAACCACCUGUGAAGAAUAUAAAUAUAAAAUCAACAAGUGUUAAAAGUGUUUUUCGAGAAAAAUUCGACAAAAAUUUAAAAAAUUACUUUUUCAAGUUGAAAUUUGUGAACAAUUGUUAACAAAAUAACAAAAUACAUUAAAAAUUAAAAUAUCAUCAUCAACAUGGUUCCAGUAAGAAAAAUGAAGAAAUCAAGAAGAAGAUGUCAUAAUAAUUAUUUAUCAACCAAAAUAUUACACAUCGAUAUGUUUUAUCUAAUUGACAAAGAAGUUUCAGAUCUUGCCCCGGAAGGAUCUCAUCAUCAUCAUCAUCAUCACCAACACUAAACUAUCAUCAUCCACAUCAUCACAUCAUCAAUACGCAAGUACCAGAAGAUUCCACAUCAUUCAUCAGCAGUUAUCAUCACCAAGUCAAUGGCACCAAGACUCGAGGUAUUUACAAACAUAUAUUCAUCGCUAUCUCAAGCGCUCAAACCACCAUUUCAUCAAUUAAUCAAUUAAUCAACAAAACACACACUACUACUACCCAAUGAACAAAUUUGAAAGUAUUACAUGUCACACACAUAGACUACACCCAUCUGAAUUUUCGGCUUUGAAACAAUUUCAAAAUCUACAGCUGUGCUUGUGAUAAAAGCGCAAAUUUGUUACGUUUUUUGUUACAACUACUACUACUGUUACUGUUAAGUUUUCGUUAUCGUUCUCAAAUGUUUCCAUCAAAGCAGGCGAAGUUACCUGAACUGAAACUAUUGUUGUCACCGGCUUAUUACAUAAAAAUCGCACACAGAAAAAUGAUUACAUUCCGUUUUUGUUUUGUUUUGUUACAACUGUUAAGUUUUUGUUUGAAUUCAAUUUCCGGGUGUAAAGGAACAUCAGAAUCAGAAUCCGAAAAUAGGCAGUUAUGAACAGAGAAAAAAUGGAUAAAAGGGGAGAAGUUGUUACGUUCUUGUUGAAAUUAUUGCUUGUUUCGUUUUGUUUUUGUUUUUAAUGCGGCAGUUGUCUGUUUCUCGCACCAGUUGAAGUUAUUUGUUGCACUUUUUAUUAAGUUUGAAUCGUUUUUCUUUUCUUUUUAUCAUUUUUGAGUUUUUAAAUUUUCUAUUUCGUAUUAUUAUGUUUUAAUUUGGCGAAAUGUUUCUUUUUAGUUUUUGUUUCUGUUUUGUUGUGUUUGAACAUAGCCAAAGUGCCUAAAAUUUCAAAUUUACUUCAGUUUUGUUUAAAAAUUUCAAGUUUUUUUUCAAUAGUUGCAUGUUUUCACUUUUGUUAUCAUCUGCAUUGUUUAAGUUUUCACUUAUUAAGUUUUAACAUCCUUAAAAUUCAGUUUUGUUCAUUUUGAAAUUUUUGUUUUGGUUGCAUGUGUUUUUAUUUCUUUAAAUUUUUCUCAUUUUGCAUGAAUAUUUGUUCAUUUAAACAUUUUCUAUUUGUUAAGUUUAAUUUUGGUUUACAUUUUCUAUAGUUUUGGUUUAAUUUGUUUGUUUGUUUGUUUUGAAUUAUAAUUUCAUUAUUUUUUAUAAAAAUUACAAGAAUUGAAAGAAAAUCGGAAAAAAAGCGGAGAAAAAAUAGGUUAGAAUUGGUUAGGAUUAAAAUACACUAGAUUUAUAGGUUAACACUUAGGUUUUGUAAUCGUGUACGUGUUCGUGUUUAAUUUCAUUAUGACUCAUAAUUAUAUUACUCUUAUCAGUUAGGUAAAUAUAAGUUAGGAUGAUAAAUUCCGGUAACUCAAAGACACUUUUUUAAUAUUUUUUAUAUUAAAACUCGUAACAAGCCAACAAUUUAUAUAAUUCCUUUAAUGCGUGUUUUUGGUGUUCGUGUGCCUUUUUUAUUAAUCAAUAUUGACAUUCAAUAUCAGCGCAUACAAAUAGAACGGCUGUAAACAACAAAAACACAUUGAUAACACUCACUUUCUCAGAAUUUUCACAUAAACUUUUACUGGUUUUAUUGACAAGAUGCCUCAAAACGAAUGAAAAUUGACCAUGAAAACCCUUCAUUCGUUUUUUUGGCACUAGAAGUGAUUUUUUUCAAUAUUUAUACAACACAAUCAACAAAUAUACAUUUAUUUGUAACAGCAAACAAACUACAAAGCUGAUAUUGAAUUAGUUGAUAAAUUAUUUUAUGUUCAAUUUAAAAAAUAUGAUAGGAUUAUUUAAAACAAACAAAAAAAAACUUUAAAAAACUUACAAAAAAAUCUGUGAACACAAAAAGUGGGAAAAUUACAAAUUAAAAUUUGAUUGUAAAACUUAUUCAACGCACAACAAUUUUGUUUAUUUUUUUAUUUUUAUUUCUUUUUAUUUAUUUAUUUUUUGCUUAAAUUUUUGUCAAAUUAAAACAUUGCGCCUUUAUUUUAAUUUCAACUUAGUUUGCUUUUAUUUCUUUUUGUAUACUUUGUUUUUAUGCGUUAUCUAUUAUUAUUUAUUGUUAUCGUUUAUGUUUAUGAUAUGAUUUAUUUCUGUUUUUGUGCGUAUGGAGUGUAAAGAAUGAUCCAUUCACCGGUCAUCUAAGUUCCCCAAAAAUUCUUUUCAUUAUGUUCGACUAUGAACGACGAGAAACGUUCGUUUAUUGUGUCUUUAUUAUUUGUAAUCCUUAAUGUAUCCAUGUAUAAGUGUGUGUGUAUUAUAAUUCUAUAUAAUUAUAUAAAUAAAUGUGUGAAAAUCGUAAAA